CGGGCGCGCACGGGAGAGGCGUGGGCUUCCCGGGCGCAGCCGCCCGCGCCCCGCGUCCGCGCGCGGGAGGAGGCGGCGGGCGGCCCAGCCCUGCCCCGCGGGCGCCCGCGUCCCGCCGUCCCGUCCCCGCCGCGCCGGCGGCAGCGCCCCCUCGCGGCGUCCGGGUGGGGGGGGGGACCCGGCUCUCUGGGACCCCGGGGCGCGCCGCGCCCGGCCCCUUUCGGCUCGCUGGGUCCCGCCGCCGCCCCGGCCCCGCUCGCGUCUGCCCGCCUCCUUCCGCCGGGAGCUGGCGGCCGGCCGAGCCGGGAGGGCGAGGCGCUCACCCCCACAGGAAGCGCUGAGUAAAUGUGCAACUGCGAGAAACUUUGAGAGGAGGGAAGCGGCGGCCGCGGUCCCGCCCCCCUGCCUUCCGCCCGCGUUCCGCCGGCCCCGCGCGCCCCGCUCGCCCCGCGCGGGCGCCGCCGGCUGGAGGCGAGCGGGUGGCCCGGCGUCCGGGCCGCUCGCUCGUCGCGCACCCCGGCGCCCCGCGGGCGGGGGCGAGGGACGGUGUCCCCACCACGUCCGCGGGGUCUUCCGGCCGUGCCCUGGUCUCCCGGGCUGAGACGCCAACUUGGCACCAGCCCCUUCUACGGAGUCCUGGGCCAGCAAGGGAGGAUCGGGGUGCCCGGCUGGGCCCUCAGUGUGUGCGGUCGUGGCGUGGGGGAGGCGGUGGGGACGCUCCCCAAUCUUGGGUCGCUAUGGGGGAAAAUCAGAGAACACUUCUGGAGACCAUGCUUGUCGGGUCUGCUGCUGCCGUUUAUGCCCCUUCCCUUUUUUCCUCCCGUUCUCCUCGCAAGGGUAUUUUCUCCACCGUAUCGUAAAAGGAUGGGGCAGAAGUUAAAAAAAAAAAAAAAUCACCGUAAUGGACGUGUAUGAUGAGACUUGUUCAAGGUUGAAAGCUUGGGGGAAGAAUUGCUCCCUUUUCAGUGUUCUCAGGGUUAUUUGUCCUCUAACCCGGACUUUUGGGUUUCCAGUCGGUUAAAAGGCAGUAAUGUCAGAUUUUUAGAAAUGGCAGAAUGGUGCAACUUAGGAAAAGACGUAGCGUUAUUGCACAUUGCUUUUCGGUAGCCCACCGGAACCUUUACAGCACGUUUUUUUAAUUUGGAUUUAAACUCUUCGAAUGGGGGCCUUAUUUGCGUCCCCGCCCCGGCAUUUCUAUAGGCGCUCACUACGUGUGGGAAAAUCUAGUGAGAUUAAUUGUUAAUUAAUUGUUCACAUGCAUGAUUAAGUAAGCAACAAUGCAAUUAAAAGCAUUCGGGCACCUUGGGCAGAGAAAGCUGUAAUUGACGGUGGUGAGCAACUAAACUUGGAGAUCUGCUUCAGUGGAAGAAUGCAUCGCUGGCCGGGGCAGCUCUGGGGGAAGGGGAGGUUGGAGGGGUGGGAGGUUGACUGGGUGACUCUUGGCUGCAUCACUUGGCUUGCUGCCUGGGAGUUUUGCACCUAAGCAAAUGGGGUGGGUGGUAGCCGAAAUUGGCAUUCUAUUUAUAGCACUGCACUUUAUAAUGCUGUACUGGGGAUAUAAUAUUUGUAUAUAAUAUAUUCAAUAUAUGGGCUGAAACACAUUUAAAUGUAUUGCUACGCGUAUCUAUUUUGCACUGCACUUAAGGGAAUAGCUGCACUGCCCAAACUUGAUAGUACGUUAAAGGACAGUCAGAAUGAACCAGAAUGUCAACACAUUUUUAGAGAUGUCUAUUAACAUUGUGAAGUUGUCAGAUAAGCACAAUAAAUAAGACGUAAAACCUAUUAAAAGGUCCCUGGGAGACAUUUGGCUCUGUGAACUGGCUUUCAUGGAUUUCAAGAAUACAGGAAGCUGUGUUCUUCGAGGUCUGAAGUAAAUCACGGGUUCAGUUUAUUGAGCUCUGCUUUGGUGGCGUUGGGGGAGCACCAAGACGUAAAAAGAUGCGGUGCCCGCUCUGUAAAUCUCGGAAUCCGGAAUCUUGGAAUCUUGCUAAAACGAGAGAUUAUGACAGGAGUUCUGACGCAUGUGAACAAUCCUGAUGGGUGAAAAAUACUCUAAAUAUCCCCUUAGAAGUUUGGCCUGGGUAUAUAUAGUUUAGUUUUCCCACAAACUGUAGCAUAUUCAUUUGAGUUUUCAGAGAAGAGUCAAUAUAGAAAAUUUAUUUUAAAUCCAUAUGAUUAUACAGAUCAAAUUCACUGUAACUUCAAUUCUAAAGUCCAGUGCCAGUUCUAGAAUCAGAUUUAUUCACACCUCUGCGCCAGCCGCUGUGUGGCUUCUAGUGAGUUUGAGCUCCGUUUUCUCCUAGAAAACAGGAGGCAUAGACUAGAUAAAAUACCAGAACUUUGCCAUUUCUUACAGUUUUAACAGACUGAUCUAUUGUGGCAGAGGCUGCUCUCUGCUUACCCAGUAAUCCCUAGUUCCUUCUUUUCCAGACUAAGAAAGCCUAUUAGAUAAUCAGGAGUGUCACCUGACUGCAUUUGGAGAUAGGAUCUUCAAGGAGUAUAAUUAAGGUUAAAUGAUGUCAUAAGGGUGGGGCCCAAAUCCGACAGGGCCUGUGUCCUUAUCGUCCUUAUCCUUCUUGGAAGAGGAAGGGACACCAGGGAUGCAUACAGAGGAAAGGCCAUGUGAGGACACCGUAAGAAGACUGCUACCUACAAGCCAGGGAAAGGGGUCUCCGCAGAAACCAACCCCGUUGGCACCUUGAUUUGGGACUUCUAGCUUCCAGAACUUUGUUUGGGUUUUCGAUUACACGCAGCCAGCCUAAUCCUAAUUGAUAACAUCUGUGAAGAAGCUCAUUUGAACCAAAGGAAUUAAGAGGCGGCCAGUGGGGACGUGUGGGACCAGUGAGGAGGCUGUUGGAAUCGACCACGGGAGGGAUGAUUAACACUCUCUAAGACACGGCGAUUGAUGGGUACAGUGGGCUGAGAGGAAGGCGGGGGUCACGCAUGAAUCAGGUUUCUGUCAUGAGCUGUGGGCGGCUCCUGGUGCUGUUUACUGAUACAGGCGCUAAUGGAGAAGGACCAGAUUUAAACAGGUUUUUUUCUUUUUAUUGUAGCUAAAUAACAUGAAAUUUCUCUUAACCAUUUGUAAGUGUACAGUUCUGUGGCAUUAAGUACCCAGACGUUUUUCUAAAAUUUAAUGUUAGAGGGAGGUGAGGAUGACGAGUUUAGUUUGGACAAGUUGAGUUUGGGGUGCGUGUGAGAUAGUCAGGUUCCAUGUCAGGUGGGCAGUUAGAUUUGUGGGUCUGGAGCUCAUAGGAGAGCUUGGCUGUGGAGAGACAUG